GCAGGAAUAAGCAUCGGCUAACUCCGUGCCAGCAGCCGCGGUAAUACGGAGGAUGCAAGCGUUAUCCGGAUUCAUUGGGUUUAAAGGGUGCGCAGGCUGUAAAGCAAGUCAGUGGUGAAAGCCCUGGGCUUAACUCAGGGAUUGCCAUUGAAACUGUUUUACUAGAGUGUAGUAGAGGACGGCGGAAUGAGUUGUGUAGCGGUGAAAUGCAUAGAUAUAACUCAGAACACCUAUUGCGUAGGCAGCUGUCUAUACUACAACUGACGCUGAGGCACGAAAGCGUGGGGAGCGAACAGGAUUAGAUACCCUGGUAGUCCACGCUGUAAACGAUGAUCACUCGUUGUUGGCUACUUAGUAGUCAGUGACCAAGGGAAACCGAUAAGUGAUCCACCUGGGGAGUACGUCGGCAACGAUGAAACUCAAAGGAAUUGACGGGGGCCCGCACAAGCGGAGGAACAUGUGGUUUAAUUCGAUGAUACGCGAGGAACCUUACCUGGGCUUAAAUGCUGGCUGCAUUGGAGGGAAACCUUCAUUUCCUACGGGACCGCCAGCAAGGUGCUGCAUGGUUGUCGUCAGCUCGUGCCGUGAGGUGUCGGGUUAAGUCCCAUAACGAGCGCAACCCCUAUCGCUAGUUGCCAGCAUGUAAUGGUGGGGACUCUAGCGAGACUGCCGGUGUAAACCGGAGGAAGGUGGGGAUGACGUCAAAUCAGCACGGCCCUUACGUCCAGGGCUACACACGUGUUACAAUGGCCGGUACAAAGAGCAGCCACCUGGCGACAGGGCGCUAAUCUCUAAAACCGGUCUCAGUUCGGAUCGAAGUCUGCAAUUCGACUUCGUGAAGGUGGAUUCGCUAG
rnacentral:rRNA from 1 species